GAUGAACGCUGGCGGCGUGCCUAAUACAUGAAAGUCGAACGAUCCGCCUUUGGCGGAUAGUGGCGAACGGGUGAGUAACACGUUGGUACCUACCCCGAAGUGGGGAAUAACUGCCCGAAAGGGUGGCUAAUACCGCAUAAUAUCGCAAGGUGAAAGGAGUAAUGCGCCUAGGGAGGGGGCUGCGUCUCAUUAGCUGGUUGGUAGGGUAAUGGCCUACCAAGGCGACGAUGGGUAGCUGGAUCGAGAGGUUGACCAGCCACACUGGGACUGAGAUACGGCCCAGACUCCUACGGGAGGCAGCAGUAAGGAAUCUUCCACAAUGGACGAAAGUCUGAUGGAGCAACGCCGCGUGCAGGAUGACGGCCUUCGGGUUGUAAACUGCUUUUAUAUGGGAAGAUUAUGACGGUACCAUAUGAAUAAGGACCGGCUAACUACGUGCCAGCCGCCGCCGUAA
rnacentral:rRNA from 1 species